rnacentral:rRNA from 1 species
UACGUAGGGAGCAAGCGUUGUCCGGAAUCAUUGGGCGUAAAGCGCGCGUAGGUGGCUUCGUAAGUCCGUUGUGAAAGUCGGGGGCUCAACCCUCGGAUGCCGGUGGAUACUGUCGGGCUUGAGUACGGAAGAGGCGAGUGGAAUUCCUGGUGUAGCGGUGAAAUGCGCAGAUAUCAGGAGGAACACCAAUUGCGAAGGCAGCUCGCUGGGACGUUACUGACGCUGAGACGCGAAAGCGUGGGGAGCAAACAGG